rnacentral:rRNA from 1 species
ACCUGCCCACUGAAAUUUUUAAUGGCCGCAGUAAUUUGACUGUGCAAAGGUAGCAUAAUCAUUAGUUUUUUAAUUAAAAGCUUGUAUGAAUGGUUGGACGAGGUAAAUUCUGUCUUUAUUUAAAUAAAAUUAGAAUUUAAUUUUUAAGUUAAAAAGCUUAAAUAAAUAUAAAAGACGAGAAGACCCUAUAGAUCUUUAUAUUAUUAUAAUAUAAUUUUAAUAAAGAAUUUUUAAUUUUUUAUAUUAUAUAGUAUUUUAUUGGGGUAAUAAAAAGAUUAAAUUAAUUCUUUUUGAUAUCUUACAUUUAUUUAUGAAUUUAAUGAUCCAAGUUUUUUGAUUAUAAGAUUAAGUUACCUUAGGGAUAACAGCGUAAUUUUUUUAGAGAGUUCAUAUCGAUAAAAAAGUUUGCGACCUCGAUGUUGGAUUAAAAAUUGUUUUAGGCGCAGAAGUUUAAAAAUUUGGUCUGUUCGACCAUUAAAUUUUU